rnacentral:tRNA from 1 species
GCCCGGAUGGCGGAAUUGGUAGACGCGCUGGUCUCAAACACCAGUGGGAUCAAACCCAUGCCGGUUCGACCCCGGCUCCGGGUA